rnacentral:rRNA from 1 species
GACGAACGCUGGCGGCGUGCUUAACACAUGCCAGUCGAACGGAAAGGCCCUGCUUUUGUGGGGUGCUCGAGUGGCGAACGGGUGAGUAACACGUGAGUAACCUGCCCUUGACUUUGGGAUAACUUCAGGAAACUGGGGCUAAUACCGGAUAGGAGCUCCUGCUGCAUGGUGGGGGUUGGAAAGUUUCGGCGGUUGGGGAUGGACUCGCGGCUUAUCAGCUUGUUGGUGGGGUAGUGGCUUACCAAGGCUUUGACGGGUAGCCGGCCUGAGAGGGUGACCGGCCCAAUGGGGACUAGGAAACGGCCCAGACCCCUAGGGGGGGAAGGGGGGGGGAAUAUUGCAAAAGGGGGGGAAGCCUGAGGCAGAAACGCCGGGUGGGGGAGGACGGCCUUGGGGUUGUAAACCGCUUUCGCCUGGGACGAAGCGUGAGUGACGGAAAUGGGGAAAAAAGCACCGGCUAAUUCCGG